UUAAAAAAAACGAUCCCCUCAUUCUCGCUUCCCGCUGAACGCCCCUCGUAUCCUCUCUUGUUCCAAUUUCAGGGUUAGCAGAAUCAUCAUGCUUAUGGUUGAAGACGGAGGAAAGUGAUUGCGGCAAUGUAAGUGCAUAUAAUCAAAUGGAGGAUCUUGUUAAGAGGUUGUCCUUUGAGCUUCGUUCGACUUCGAUCGAAUAUUUCAAAGCUGCUUUUGUUCGCACUGAUUUCGAUACCUGUACUCACCUCCUUACUCAACUCUAGAAUAUACGAAGUAUGGGGCCUUUGAAGAUGGAGCCCUAAUAUUCAGGGCAGUCAAUGGUCAUGCAUUAGCAGCAACAACAUCAACCCAUGCAGCACAUAUUAAUGCCAAGGAAGAACCAGCAAGCUGCUGUAGCCGUCUAACUUAAUCUCUUGCAUCAACAAAGAUUAAUUCAGCUACAACAGCAACAUCAACAAUUUUCACCCCAGAACUUGCCUCUCACUAGUUACCUUUCAUGUGCUUGGCUAUUUUAAUAAUGUUUCAGAGAAUCUCAGAGUUGGACCUCUUCUAUAUUUUGUUGUCAAGCAUUAUAACUACAGGUACCAUUUUGUCUCUCAUCAAGCAUAUACUCAUUCACUUGAAAUUGUUUUAUGAGAAGUUCACAAUUUUCUAUUUUCAGUGGAGUUUGUUUAGGAAAAGUUUUUUUAUUAAACAAUUUUCCCUUCUGCUUCUGUUUAGCCUAUAACUGUUAUUUGCCUAACUAUCUAUCUUCUAAUUAUCAAUAAAUUUGUUUAAUAAAAAAACUGUUAGGCUUGUUAACUUCUGGACAUUACUGUUAUAACUCGAAUUAGAAGCAGAAGGGAAAAUUG